GGCACAGUGGUUUAAUGGUUAGCAUAUUUGCCUCGCACCUCCAGGGUUGGGGGUUCAAAUUCCACCUCAGCCC